GGGGAAUAUUGCGCAAUGGGGGGAACCCUGACGCGGCAACGCCGCGUGAGUGAAGAAGGCCUUCGGGUCGUAAAGCUCUGUCUUCAGGGACGAAAAAAGACGGUACCUGAGGAGGAAGCCACGGCUAACUACGUGCCAGCAGCCGCGGUAAUACGUAGGUGGCGAGCGUUGUCCGGAAUUACUGGGCGUAAAGGGUGCGUAGGCGGCGUUCCAAGUCAGAUGUGAAAACCCAAGGCUUAACCAUGGGAUUGCAUUUGAAACUGGGAUGCUGGAGUGCAGGAGAGGGAAGCGGAAUUCCUAGUGUAGCGGUGAAAUGCGUAGAUAUUAGGAAGAACACCAGUGGCGAAGGCGGCUUCCUGGACUGUAACUGACGCUGAGGCACGAAAGCGUGGGGAGCAAAC
rnacentral:rRNA from 1 species